AGCAGCAGCCGCGGGAAUACAGAGGGUGCGAGCGUUAAUCGGAUUUACUGGGCGUAAAGCGUGCGUAGGCGGCUUUUUAAGUCGGAUGUGAAAUCCCUGAGCUUAACUUAGGAAUUGCAUUCGAUACUGGGAAGCUAGAGUAUGGGAGAGGAUGGUAGAAUUCCAGGUGUAGCGGUGAAAUGCGUAGAGAUCUGGAGGAAUACCGAUGGCGAAGGCAGCCAUCUGGCCUAAUACUGACGCUGAGGUACGAAAGCAUGGGAGCAAACAGGAUUAGAUACCCCCGUAGUCCCUGUCUCUUAUACA
rnacentral:rRNA from 1 species